ensembl:ncRNA B0495.12 ncRNA
UAUUCAAGUGUAUACUUGAAUCUAAUUGGACAUUAGGGAAUUGUGCAUUCUGAAGAAAUCUGAAGUGUUUUCAAACAUUAUUGGAAAAUAGUAUACAGUUCUGUCUGGUUGUGGAAGCGAUCGAAGAACU